GUCGAGAAUAAUUCACAAUGGACGAAAGUCUGAUGGUGCAACGCCGCGUGGAGGAUGAAGGUCUUCGGAUUGUAAACUCCUGUCAUCGGGGAGUAAGACCUGGCGGUAAAUAGCCGACAGGGUUGAUAGUACCCGAAGAGGAAGGGACGGCUAACUUCGUGCCAGCAGCCGCGGUAAUACGAAGGUCCCAAGCGUUGUUCGGAAUCACUGGGCGUAAAGGGAGCGUAGGCGGCGUGGUAAGUCAGAUGUGAAAUCCCGGGGCUCAACCCCGGAACUGCAUCCGAUGCUGCCAUGCUUGAGGGGUGGAGAGGUAGCUGGAAUUCUCGGUGUAGCAGUGAAAUGCGUGGAUAUCGAGAGGAACACUCGUGGCGAAGGCGAGCUACUGGACAACAUCUGACGCUGAGGCUCGAAGGCCAGGGGAGCAAAAGGGAUUAGAUACCCCUGUAGUCC
rnacentral:rRNA from 1 species